GAUGAACGCUGACAGCAUGCUUAACACAUGCAAGUCAACUGUGGCGGACGGGUGAGUAACGCGUCAAGAACUUGCCUCAGAGAUAGGGACAACAUUUGGCAACGAAUGCUAAUACCUGAUACUGUGAGAUAGCUUUGCGUCCAAUUAGCUAGUUGGAGAGGUAACGGCUCACCAAGGCGAGGAUGGUUAGCCGGCCUGAGACGGUGAUAGGCCACAAGGGGACUGAGAUACGGCCCUUAUGCGUACUGGAGGCAUGAGUGGGGAAUAGUGGACAAUGGACCAAAGACUGAUCCAGCAAUUCGGUGUGCAAUAUGAAGUUUUGGGAAGGUAAAGUGCUUUCAGUUGGGAAGCAGUACCAACAGAAGAAGUGACGGCUAAAUACGUGCCAGCAGCCGCGGUAAUUC
rnacentral:rRNA from 1 species